CGGGGUUAGUGGCGCACGGGUGCGUAACACGUGGGAACGUGCCUUUUGGUUCGGAAUAACUCAGGGAAACUUGUGCUAAUACCGAAUGUGCCCUUCGGGGGAAAGAUUUAUCGCCAUUAGAGCGGCCCGCGUCUGAUUAGCUAGUUGGUGAGGUAAAGGCUCACCAAGGCGACGAUCAGUAGCUGGUCUGAGAGGAUGAUCAGCCACAUUGGGACUGAGACACGGCCCAGACUCC
rnacentral:rRNA from 1 species